UCAUUUCAUUUUCACUAACAAAAUACUCACGUUUAUUUAACAUUAAGAGAACAUUAUUCAGUCUAAGUUUAAGCACCUUCAAAAAUCUGCCAAAUCCGGAUCCUAUAUUAUUGUCAACAUACUCCUCAUGUACUAAUUUUGACUCUUCAAGAGAUUUGUUCAAACUGUAGCUUUCUAAACAGGGGGAAUACCAUUACAUCAUAGUCAAAUACUUGAAUUUUUCCCUCUAGAGGACUUGACAAGUGUGUGUGUCUAAAGCAACACUCCACUGUAUUUCUUGGCACCAACAAAUCUCAAUGUAAUUCCUUGACUCAACUUUGGCUGCGAUCCAGGAAACAUAUGCAGCAUAUGGUAGACAUGACGACGGAGCUGGGAACAGAGCUGAGGGGACGUGAGAGAUGACACUUUCCAAUAAUCAGACCAGCACUGACAACAUCCAUCAAGAGCACAGAAAAUGUGGGGAGGGCUGGAGCUGAGAGUGGAUUAACAUGGGAUGAACUGACACUGGACAAUGGACAACAUGACACCUAGCAGAGAGCAUCACUGAUUGCACAAAGCUGCAAUUUGACUAUCUUAGUCCACUUGGUGCUUUGUGAAUGGCACUGUACUGUAAUAUCCAGAGGGUGCAAGGGUGAUUUUCAAUACACAUCAUUACUUUAAAUAUUAUAUUCAAUCAGAUAAUAUAUAUUGAACCUCCAAAGAUUUUACACAUCAAAGUCUGUUUUAAUGCCAAAGUUACAUUUUAAUAAGUGUAACUUUAACCAAAUCAAUCAAUCAAUCAAUCAAUCAAGCUAUUAAAAUCAACAAAACUGGAAGUACUGGGAUAUAAACAUAACAACAAUGCACAUUUCAACAGGCAUUUCAAUAAAAACAUCGACUAUGUAUCAUCAGUUAAAUGUUGUCAGUUACUGAGGAUGAGCAAAGGGUCAGAUCUAAAAGGGCCAAAUUCAAUUCAUGAGCUAUUUUUCAGAAAGAAUAUAAACUCUGUAUUCAGAGUAUGAACAGCCAACAGCCCCCAUGCACAUUAGACCUCCACCACACAUAUGAAUCACAGCUUAACAGGAAGGAUUCUGCAUGGGCAGAGGGGAAGAUUCUUGUGCAAUAUCUGCUUUUAAAUGUCUUGGUCUUGGGGUUACCCUGUUCCCCUAACAGACCUGAUGGGAGAGAUAAAGACAGAAGUGGGGGGUAAGAGCAAGACAGAAAGAAAUAGGAGGAGAGUGAGCAGGGAAAAGGGGAGGAAAUGGAUGAGUGAGUGUUGGAGAGAGAGAGAGAGAGAGAAAGAGAAGGACAAACAGGGACAUGGAGGACUGUGGAAGAAGUGAGAAUGUGAGAGGGUUAACACAAUUUAAGAGAAACAGAGAGGGUGGGGGUCACUCAGGAAGGGAGAGGCUCUGUGUGUGUGUGUGUGUGUGUGUCUCACUGGUAGCAGGCAACAGAUGUCAAUGCAGGGGGUAUGGCUUUCUCCAAAUUGAACAGCCCCCCCAGGAACAUUAGUUACUAACAGACCAAGAGGAGAGGCAGUGGGGGGCGAAAAGGAUGAGAGGCGAGGAAAGUAGAGUAUAGGAUAGAGGUGAAAAGGAGAGGACAGGAAAGUAGAAGAAAGGGCAGAUGAGAUGUGAGGGAAAUGUGAAGGUAGAGAGGAGGAGAAAUGAGGAGAGAAAAGAAACCACAAGAAGGAGUGUCAAGGAGGAAGUGAAAGGAUAGUAAAGAGAGGGGAAAGAAAGGAAACAUUAAAACAGGAGAGAGAGAA